rnacentral:rRNA from 1 species
UACAGAGGUCCCAAGCGUUGUUCGGAAUUACUGGGCGUAAAGGGCUCGUAGGCGGCCAACUAAGUCGGACGUGAAAUCCCCAGGCUCAACCUGGGAACUGCGUCCGAUACUGGAUGGCUUGAAUCCGGGAGAGGGAUGCAGAAUUCCAGGUGUAGCGGUGAAAUGCGUAGAUAUCUGGAGGAAUACCGGUGGCGAAGGCGGCAUCCUGGACCGACAUUGACGCUGAGGAGCGAAAGCUAGGGGAGCAAACGGG